ensembl:lincRNA
UUUCUCUCAUAUUCCCACAUGCUCCACACCCGGCUACAAAAGAUCACCAUGCAUACAUUGCCCUUCUGUGCUGUGGAGUGUAGGGCAGCCAACAAGGCCACCUCUCUUUAACUCUACACUGGCAGGCAGCCUGCUCGACGCUACUUCUGAUUGCUUUGAUGGAAGUAAAACAAAACAGACCCCUGUAUCCCACUGCAGGAACCCACUGAGGCACAGCACAGAUUCCUAGUUUGAAAUGAGCGUCAGUGGCUGCCAACACACAUCGUCAAAGCUUGGUGGUGAGACCCAGGCUGGCACGGACAUCUUCUCCAGCUCCCGGUUAGAGGCCGUCUGUCCGAGGCGCCAGCAAAGCUCUGCGCAUUCCCACCGUGAGUGCCCUUCUCGAUGGCCUCACUUGCGGCGUCACCACAACGCAGGGCAAUUAUUACUGACGUGGCACAGUGAAGAAGUCAUCGGUGCGUACGGUACAUUUUCAUUGUAUGUGGUGCACAGGGUCUUCCAAGUUGAAAAGUAAAUGCAUAGACACGUUGAAUUGGCAUAGCCUCAUUUAAUCAGUACUUAGUUCUAUUGUUCUAUUUCAGGUACUGCCCUAAAACGGACAAACAAAGGUAAACAGGGUAAACAAAGACGCCAUCUCUGCCCUUAAGGAACUCAGAUGAGAUGUUAUAAACACUGAAAAUAUCAAGUACUGUGUUCAAAAUAUAAGACCAUUGGUCCUUUGAAAUAGCUCAGCAGUACAGUGCCUGCCUGGCAAGUGCAAGGGCCUGAGCUUGAUUCAUGGUUUUGCUUAAAAUACAUGUAUUUAUAUUCAUAUUCAUAUUGCCAUUACUAUCGCAUGUUUGUUGCAUGGUCACAGUUUCAGAGUGCCUCAAAGAUAGUAUGUCUGGUAGAGAUACAGAAAUGAAAACUGUACAUAUCACAUUAAACAGCAUCUCAGCUGUCACCCUAUUCACAAUAGAGACCCCCAAAUGAAUUUCGGAAGAUGUAGGUAAUCAUCUCACUGUGCUUAUAGAAGCGUAUUUCUGACGUGAAUAUAGAUGGAGAAAAAAGGAUGUAAACAAUGACUGCCUUAAUAGAUGGUGAUAGUAGUCCAAGACAGAAAUGAUGAGUUCAGAAUACACAAUACAGAGAGGAAAAGCCACGUAAAAUAGAUUUGAGGGAGUUUUGUAAAGUCACAAAAGGACCUGAAAACAAGAGAAAUGUGGUUGGUCGGGAACAUGGAGUAAGUUACCCUAUCUCUAGAUUCGAUUCGUUAACUGAGGAGAUGAUACUUAUAACCAACCCAGAGACUGCAGAACAAACAAAGUCGUAGGAAAUGGGAACAAGGAGAUGGGGCAGAAUGAGUUGGAUUUUGAAGUUUUUACUUCUGUGAUAACUGUAGGGAAUAAUAGAAAGCAAAAUAUAGCUCUACUUAUUAAAAGAAUGAUAGGAGCUAUCCAUAUAUGUUAGGAAAUAGGCAGCAAUCUAAUCUAAGGGAGAUCUGAAAUUGUCAUAA